AGAUGCGUUUUGGGAUAUGGGUGCUCAAGAAUUGGAGACACAACAAAAAAAGACCAAGCAUUCAGCGGGACGAUACUCCUGAGAUGGUAUGAGCAAGAGUAGGGGAAAGAAAACUCUCCAACUACCACCCCGACGAUUUGGAUUCGUUGUUGGAUAAAUGGUGUGAUGAGGAUUAUUAGACUGUCAAGAAUGACACUCCUCUUAUGCAAGUAAAAUCGUACAUAACGACUCACAUGAGGAAUGAUGGAAGCUAUCCAAAUGACACACUAAAGGAGAUAUGUGUAUGCUACUCACCUUUCAUAUAUUGUUUUACUUAUGUGUGUGAUAACUUAUUUACGAUGCACAUUUGUUUGACGCACCAACAUUUAAUAUAAGAUGUAAGAGAGGGUGGCAGAGCUAAUGCCAAGUGUGACAGAAGGAACGAUAUGCUAGAGACCGGAAGACACGUACACCCAGGUGCUCGGCAAUAAGCUGGAGUACGCUGGCAUAGUUCGACAGGUUGGGCCAAAUAUUUGGCCUGUGUGGGGGUCCAUACGCUCAUACUAUACACCUUCACAGCCAUGAUCACAAAAUCAAGAGCACGCAAUCUCGCAAGAAGUGCUCGAGAGAGCACUCAAGGGUGAGCAGGAGAGACACAAGGCACAAAUGGAUGAGGUGUUGGCGGCACAGUUUGAGAUUAUGUCCUGUUUUAGCCAAAUGGAGUCAAUGUGGCGCCAGUUAGCAUCCGUGCCCGUAGUCCCUAAUAAUAAUGCAGCGCCAGAUAGAAAUUCCACACAUCAUAUGAAUGUGAUAUCGUCUAUGGAUAACGGAUCAGCUGGUGUAGAAAAUGAUGUGCAGUUACCCGAUCAUGAAAAUCUUGCUGACGAUUGAUAUUGGGUGACAUUUAGGGUUGUUUUAGUUGGC